UACGGAAGGCAGCAGUGGGGAAUAUUGCACAAUGGGCGAAAGCCUGAUGCAGCUAUGCCGCGUGUAUGAAGAAGGCCUUAGGGUUGUAAAGUACUUUCAGUCGGGGAAGGAAAAAACAAAACUAAUAAUUUUAUUUCUUGACGUUAACCCGAAAAAGAAGCACCGGCUAACUCCGUGCCAGCAGCCGCGGUAAUACGGAGGGUGCUAGCGUUAAUCAGAAUUACUGGGCGUAAAGAGCACGUAGGUUGGUUUUUUAAGUCAGAUGUGAAAUCCCUGGGCUUAACCUAGGAACUGCAUUUUGAAACUGAAAUACUAGAGUAUCGUAGAGGGAGGUAGAAUUCUAGGUGUAGCGGUGAAAUGCGUAGAUAUCUGGAGGAAUACCUGUGGCGAAAGCGGCCUCCUAAACGAAUACUGACACUGAGGUGCGAAAGCGUGGGGAGCAAACAGGGAUUAGAUACC
rnacentral:rRNA from 1 species